UGGGGAAUUUUGGACAAUGGGCGAAAGCCUGAAUCCAGCAAUGCCGCGUGUGUGAAGAAGGCCUUCGGUUGUAAAGCACUUUUGUCCGGAAAGAAAUCCUUGGCUCUAAUACAGUCGGGGGAUGACGGUACCGGAAGAAUAAGCACCGGCUAACUACGUGCCAGCAGCCGCGGUAAUACGUAGGGUGCAAGCGUUAAUCGGAAUUACUGGGCGUAAAGCGUGCGCAGGCGGUUUGCUAAGACCGAUGUGAAAUCCCCGGGCUCAACCUGGGAACUGCAUUGGUGACUGGCAGGCUAGAGUAUGGCAGAGGGGGUGAGAAUUCCACGUNUAGCAGUGAAAUGCGUAGAGAUGUGGAGGAAUACCGAUGGCGAAGCAGCCCCCUGGCAAGUCACUGACGCUCAUGCACGAAAGCGUGGGGAGCAAA
rnacentral:rRNA from 1 species